GACGAACGCUGGCGGCGUGCCUAAUACAUGCAAGUAGAACGCUGAAGGAGGAGCUUGCUUCUCUGGAUGAGUUGCGAACGGGUGAGUAACGCGUAGGUAACCUGCCUGGUAGCGGGGGAUAACUAUUGGAAACGAUAGCUAAUACCGCAUAAUAGUAGAUGUUGCAUGACAUUUGCUUAAAAGGUGCAAUUGCAUCACUACCAGAUGGACCUGCGUUGUAUUAGCUAGUUGGUGGGGUAACGGCUCACCAAGGCGACGAUACAUAGCCGACCUGAGAGGGUGAUCGGCCACACUGGGACUGAGACACGGCCCAGACUCCUACGGGAGGCAGCAGUAGGGAAUCUUCGGCAAUGGACGGAAGUCUGACCGAGCAACGCCGCGUGAGUGAAGAAGGUUUUCGGAUCGUAAAGCUCUGUUGUAAGAGAAGAACGAGUGUGAGAGUGGAAAGUUCACACUGAGACGGUAUCUACCAGAAA
rnacentral:rRNA from 1 species